rnacentral:rRNA from 1 species
CAGCCGUAACCUAUGCUCGCUAGGUGUCAGGCAUGGCGCGACCGUGUCUGGUGCCGCAGGGAAGCCGUGAAGCGAGCCACCUGGGAAGUACGGCCGCAAGGCUGAAACUUAAAGGAAUUGGCGGGGGAGCACAACAACGGGUGGAGCCUGCGGUUUAAUUGGACUCAACGCCGGACAACUCACCGGGGACGACAGCAAUAUGUAGGCCAGGCUGAAGACCUUGCCUGAAUCGCUGAGAGGAGGUGCAUGGCGUAGACGUCU